rnacentral:rRNA from 1 species
CGUAGGUGGCGAGCGUUGUCCGGAAUUAUUGGGCGUAAAGGGAGCGCAGGCGGGAGGUCAAGUCUAUCUUAAAAAGUGCGGGGCUCAACCCCGUGAGGGGAUGGAAAACUGGUCUUCUUGAGUGCAGGAGAGGAAAGCGGAAUUCCUAGUGUAGCGGUGAAAUGCGUAGAUAUUAGGAGGAACACCAGUGGCGAAGGCGGCUUUCUGGACUGUAACUGACGCUGAGGCUCGAAAGCGUGGGGAGCGA